rnacentral:rRNA from 1 species
UACGUGGGGUGCAAGCGUUGUCCGGAAUUAUUGGGCGUAAAGAGCUCGUAGGCGGCUUGUCGCGUCUGCUGUGAAAACUCGGGGCUUAACUCCGGGCCUGCAGUGGGUACGGGCAGACUAGAGUGCGGUAGGGGAGACUGGAAUUCCUGGUGUAGCGGUGAAAUGCGCAGAUAUCAGGAGGAACACCGGUGGCGAAGGCGGGUCUCUGGGCCGUAACUGACGCUGAGGAGCGAAAGCGUGGGGAGCGAGCAGG